rnacentral:rRNA from 1 species
UUUGAUCCUGGCUCAAGACGAAACGCUGGCGGCGUGCUUAACACAUGCAAGUCGAACGGUGAAAGGGACCUGCUUUUGUGGGUCCUGGAUGAGUGGCGAACGGGUGAGUAACACGUGAGUAACCUGCCCCCUUCUUCUGGAUAACAGCAUGAAAGUGUGGCUAAUACGGGAUAUUCUGUGCCUGCUGCAUGGUGGGUGUGGGAAAGAUGCGCCUUUGGGUGUUUUUGGUGGGGGAUGGGCUCGCGGCCUAUCAGCUUGUUGGUGGGGUGAUGGCCUACCAAGGCGGUGACGGGUAGCCGGCCUGAGAGGGUGGACGGUCACACUGGGACUGAGACACGGCCCAGACUCCUACGGGAGGCAGCAGUGGGGAAUAUUGCACAAUGGGCGCAAGCCUGAUGCAGCGACGCCGCGUGAGGGAUGGAGGCCUUCGGGUUGUAAACCUCUUUCGCCAGUGAAGCAGGCCUGUCCCUUGUGGUUGGGUUGACGGUAGCUGGAUAAGAAGCGCCGGCUAACUACGCGCCAGCAGCCGCGGUAAUACGUAGGGCGCGAGCGUUGUCCGGAAUUAUUGGGCGUAAAGAGCUCGUAGGCGGCUGGUCGCGUCUGUCGUGAAAUCCUCUGGCUUAACUGGGGGCUUGCGGUGGGUACGGGCCGGCUUGAGUGCGGUAGGGGAGACUGGAACUCCUGGUGUAGCGGUGGAAUGCGCAGAUAUCAGGAAGAACACCGGUGGCGAAGGCGGGUCUCUGGGCCGUUACUGACGCUGAGGAGCGAAAGCGUGGGGAGCGAACAGGAUUAGAUACCCUGGUAGUCCACGCCGUAAACGUUGGGCACUAGGUGUGGGGGGCCUUUUCCGGGUCUUCCGCGCCGUAGCUAACGCAUUAAGUGCCCCGCCUGGGGAGUACGGCCGCAAGGCUAAAACUCAAAGGAAUUGACGGGGGCCCGCACAAGCGGCGGAGCAUGCGGAUUAAUUCGAUGCAACGCGAAGAACCUUACCAAGGCUUGACAUGUGCCGGUCGGCUCCGGAGACGGGGUUUCCUCCUUGUGGGGCCGGUUCACAGGUGGUGCAUGGUUGUCGUCAGCUCGUGUCGUGAGAUGUUGGGUUAAGUCCCGCAACGAGCGCAACCCUUGUCCCGUGUUGCCAGCACGUUGUGGUGGGGACUCGCGGGAGACUGCCGGGGUCAACUCGGAGGAAGGUGGGGAUGACGUCAAAUCAUCAUGCCCCUUAUGUCUUGGGCUUCACGCAUGCUACAAUGGCCGGUACAGAGGGCUGCGAUACCGUGAGGUGGAGCGAAUCCCUUAAAGCCGGUCUCAGUUCGGAUCGGUGUCUGCAACUCGACACCGUGAAGUUGGAGUCGCUAGUAAUCGCAGAUCAGCAACGCUGCGGUGAAUACGUUCUCGGGCCUUGUACACACCGCCCGUC